CUCAGCUACAACAACCAAACAUUGGCAUGCCUUUAACAGUCUGAGUUUAAACCAGGGCAUGGAGAUGGUGCUGUGCUGUGGUUGGCUCAAGUUAUGGCAAGUGUCUGCCAUCAGAUCCCUCACCAUGAAAGGCCUGCAUGCUGAUGGACUCGAGGUGUCUGCCAUCAGAUCCCUCACUAUGGACUGCAUGCUGACAGACUUCCCUGGGCCUGCUACCUGAGACCUGCUGCUUCCUCCCGGACUUACUCUGCGGCUUCUUCCUGGACCCACCCGGUACCUGCACCCUCUCAUUGCCCAAGACCAGCCUCGCUGCUCCUGCCCUUCGGCCUCGGACCAUUGGAACGGCGUGUAAUGGGCCGUGUAACGGGACUACUGCUGGAUCCUGGUGGUGACUAUCCCCGCUUUACGCAAUUCUUGCUUCUUUCUAUCUUUUCUAUCACCCACCUUCCCUUCCCCAUCACCCCAAUCCGUAAUAGUGUCUGUCCUCCCCUUUCUUCAUUUCCUUUAUUAACAUUUGUAAUAAACUGGUCCGACCAACAUUUGAACCGUUGCUUCUUAAUCUCAUGCCGGGUAUACAUACAUCAAAGAACCUCCUCUCCCUCCUAUAAAUUGGAGCGAGGCACAUACACACAGGGCAUGAUGGAUCUGAGUGUGUACAACUGUCACAAGAGGCAGUCAGCACUGCGCUGCACCCUCUCCAACCCCUGGUUCUAGCCCAGGCAGUCCCAGUCACAAAGCAAUAGUCUGAUUGCUGAGUGAUAGGAACCCACCUGGGGCAGAGCCAUUGCCAUGACGGUGUGUCGCAGGGGUUGCAUGGGCUGCAUUGCAAGCUGUGCUGGGCCGCAUGUGGUCUGUGGGCCACUGGUUAGACAUGCCUGAGAUGUUGUUGAAGCUGUUAAAUAUCAUACCUUUGUGAACCAAACGUCAUAGGUCAAACUCAACAAUAGAAGAUGAAAAUAACACUGACUACAUAUGAGCUUUAUCAACUUACCUGAGGCAAGACUGAAGUAAUUAUAAUUUUAUACAAUGCAUAUAAUUUUGGAGUUUUAGAAGUAGGCAAUUAUAAACAGUUUCUCAGAAUUACGUAAGAGUUUGGAAGACUGAAAAGAACAACUUGAUCUUGUAGCUGGUUAAGAUAAUAUUGGUUCUCUGCAGGUUGUUUUAUUUAUUUUAGUGACGUUUCAGUGAUGCUUCUACACAUUU
ensembl:lncRNA